rnacentral:rRNA from 1 species
UGGUCAAGUUAUUAAGGGUGCAGGGCGGAUGCCUUGGCACUAGGAGCCGAUGAAGGACGUGAUAAGCUGCGAUAAGCUUCGGGGAGUUGCACGUAAACUUUGAUCCGAAGAUUUCCGAAUGAGGAAACUCACUUAGAGUAAUGUCUAAGUAUCAUUAAGUGAAUACAUAGCUUAAUGAGGGGAACUCAGGGAACUGAAACAUCUAAGUACCUGAAGGAAGAGAAAGAAAUUCGAUUCCGUAAGUAGCGGCGAGCGAACGCGGAUUAGCCCAAACCAAUAAAGUUUUCUUUAUUGGGGUUGCGGACAUAUCAUAACGAAGAGGUAUCGUAAUUGAAGAGGUUUGGAAAGACCCACCACAGAAGGUAAUAGUCCUGUAUGUUAAACGAGAAGACUUUAGAUAUGAUCCAGGGUACCACGGGACACGUGAAACCCUGUGGGAAGCAGGAGGGACCACCCUCCAAGGCUAAAUACUACCUAGUGACCGAUAGCGUAUAGUACCGUGAGGGAAAGGUGAAAAGAACCCCGGGAGGGGAGUGAAAUAGAACCUGAAACCCUGCACUUACAAGCUGUGGAAGCACAUUUCUUGUGUGACCGCGUACUUUUUGUAGAACGGGCCAACGAGUUACGUUAAGUAGCAAGGUUAAGCACUUAAGGUG